rnacentral:rRNA from 1 species
GUAGGUGGCAAGCGUUGUCCGGAAUUAUUGGGCGUAAAGCGCGCGCAGGUGGUUCUUUAAGUCUGAUGUGAAAGCCCCCGGCUCAACCGGGGAGGGUCAUUGGAAACUGGGGAACUUGAGUGCAGGAGAGGAAAGUGGAAUUCCACGUGUAGCGGUGAAAUGCGUAGAUAUGUGGAGGAACACCAGUGGCGAAGGCGACUUUCUGGCCUGUAACUGACACUGAGGCGCGAAAGCGUGGGGAGCAAAAAGGGAUUAGAUACCCUGGUAGUCCACGCCGUAAACGAUGAGUGCUAAGUGUUGGGGGGGUUUCCCGCCCCUCAGUGCUGCAGCUAACGCAUUAAGCACUCCGCCUGGGGAGUACGGUCGCAAGACUG